rnacentral:tRNA from 8 species
UGCCCCGUGGCUGAGUUGGUUACAGCGGUUGACUGUUAGUAUAGUAUACUAAUUUGAUCAGACGGUCCAGAGUUCGAGUCUCUGCGGGGCAG